AGCGGCGGAUGGGUGAGUAACACGUGGGGAACCUGCCCCUAAGUCUGGGAUACCAUUUGGAAACAGGUGCUAAUACCGGAUAAUAAAGCAGAUCGCAUGAUCAGCUUUUGAAAGGCGGCGUAAGCUGUCGCUAAGGGAUGGCCCCGCGGUGCAUUAGCUAGUUGGUAAGGUAACGGCUUACCAAGGCGACGAUGCAUAGCCGAGUUGAGAGACUGAUCGGCCACAUUGGGACUGAGACACGGCCCAAACUCCUACGGGAGGCAGCAGUAGGGAAUCUUCCACAAUGGACGCAAGUCUGAUGGAGCAACGCCGCGUGAGUGAAGAAGGUUUUCGGAUCGUAAAGCUCUGUUGUUGGUGAAGAAGGAUAGAGGUAGUAACUGGCCUUUAUUUGACGGUAAUCAACCAGAAAGUCACGGCUAACUACGUGCCAGCAGCCGCGGUAAUACGUAGGAGGCAAGCGUUGUCCGGAUUUAUUGGGCGUAAAGCGAGCGCAGGCGGAAAAAUAAGUCUAAUGUGAAAGCCCUCGGCUUAACCGAGGAACAGCAUCGGAAACUGUUUUUCUUGAGUGCAGAAGAGGAGAGUGGAACUCCAUGUGUAGCGGUGGAAUGCGUAGAUAUAUGGAAGAACACCAGUGGCGAAAGGCGGCUCUCUGGUCUGCAACUGACGCUGAGGCUCGAAAGCAUGGGUAGCGAACAGGAUUAGAUACCCUGGUAGUCCAUGCCGUAACGAUGAGUGCUAAGUGU
rnacentral:rRNA from 1 species